CUUGUGCUGCUUAGUCGUUAGAGUGGUGCUUAUGUCGCCAGGGUUGUGGGUUCGAGUCCCACGUGGAACC